UACGUAGGUGGCAAGCGUUGUCCGGAUUUACUGGGCGUAAAGAGCGCGCAGGCGGUCGUUCAAGUCGCGUGUGAAAGCCCCCGGCUCAACUGGGGAGGGUCACGCGAUACUGAUCGACUCGAAGGCAGGAGAGGGUAGUGGAAUUCCCGGUGUAGUGGUGAAAUGCGUAGAUAUCAGGAGGAACAUCGAUGGCGAGGGCAGCCCCUUGGACCUGUACUGACGCUCAUGCACGAAAGCGUGGGGAGCAAACAGG
rnacentral:rRNA from 1 species